GAUGAACGCUGGCGGCGUGCUUAACACAUGCAAGUCGAACGGAAAGGCCAGUGCUUGCACUGGUACUCGAGUGGCGAACGGGUGAGUAACACGUGGGUGAUCUGCCCUGCACUUCGGGAUAAGCCUGGGAAACUGGGUCUAAUACCGGAUAGGACAAUGGUUUGGAUGCCGUUGUGGAAAGUUUUUUCGGUGUGGGAUGAGCUCGCGGCCUAUCAGCUUGUUGGUGGGGUAAUGGCCUACCAAGGCGUCGACGGGUAGCCGGCCUGAGAGGGUGUACGGCCACAUUGGGACUGAGAUACGGCCCAGACUCCUACGGGAGGCAGCAGUGGGGAAGAUUGCACAAUGGGCGCAAGCCUGAUGCAGCGACGCCGCGUGGGGGAUGACGGCCUUCGGGUUGUAAACUCCUUUCGCUAGGGACGAAGCGUAUUUGUGACGGUACCUGGAGAAGAAGCACCGGCUAACUACGU
rnacentral:rRNA from 1 species